AUAUCUGGGCAAACGCUGCAUAUAUUUAGUAUGUUGAGGAAAGUCCAUGCUCGCACAGUCUGUGAUGAUUGUAGUGUUCGUGCUAGGGGAAUAAAUAACCCUAGGUAAGUUAAACUUAACGGCUCCGAGGUAACCUUAAAUGGUUAUAGUAGGUAUAAAAGUGCCAUAGAGACGAGCUCAUUUGGAAACGAAUGAGGUGGAACGCGGUAAACCCCACGAGCGAGAAACCCAAAUUUUGGUAGGGGAGUCUUUGAUGACGAAAGAUAAGGAGUCAAAGGAUCGAAAGAUAGAUAAAUGUUUGCCACCAUUUAUGGUACAGAACAUGGCUUAUUAGA
rnacentral:RNase_P_RNA from 1 species